AGAGUUUGAUCAUGGCUCAGAUUGAACGCUGGCGGCAGGCCUAACACAUGCAAGUCGAGCGGUAGCACAGAGAGCUUGCUCUCGGGUGACGAGUGGCGGACGGGUGAGUAAUGUCUGGGAAACUGCCUGAUGGAGGGGGAUAACUACUGGAAACGGUAGCUAAUACCGCAUAACGUCGCAAGACCAAAGUGGGGGACCUUCGGGCCUCAUGCCAUCAGAUGUGCCCAGAUGGGAUUAGCUAGUAGGUGGGGUAACGGCUCACCUAGGCGACGAUCCCUAGCUGGUCUGAGAGGAUGACCAGCCACACUGGAACUGAGACACGGUCCAGACUCCUACGGGAGGCAGCAGUGGGGAAUAUUGCACAAUGGGCGCAAGCCUGAUGCAGCCAUGCCGCGUGUGUGAAGAAGGCCUUCGGGUUGUAAAGCACUUUCAGCGGGGAGGAAGGCGGUGAGAUUAAUAACCUCAUCGAUUGACGUUACCCGCAGAAGAAGCACCGGCUAACUCCGUGCCAGCAGCCGCGGUAAUACGGAGGGUGCAAGCGUUAAUCGGAAUUACUGGGCGUAAAGCGCACGCAGGCGGUCUGUCAAGUCGGAUGUGAAAUCCCCGGGCUCAACCUGGGAACUGCAUUCGAAACUGGCAGGCUAGAGUCUUGUAGAGGGGGGUGGAAUUCCAGGUGUAGCGGUGAAAUGCGUAGAGAUCUGGAGGAAUACCGGUGGCGAAGGCGGCCCCCUGGACAAAGACUGACGCUCAGGUGCGAAAGCGUGGGGAGCAAACAGGAUUAGAUACCCUGGUAGUCCACGCCGUAAACGAUGUCGAUUUGGAGGUUGUGCCCUUGAGGCGUGGCUUCCGGAGCUAACGCGUUAAAUCGACCGCCUGGGGAGUACGGCCGCAAGGUUAAAACUCAAAUGAAUUGACGGGGCCCGCACAAGCGGUGGAGCAUGUGGUUUAAUUCGAUGCAACGCGAAGAACCUUACCUGGUCUUGACAUCCACAGAACUUUCCAGAGAUGGAUUGGUGCCUUCGGGAACUGUGAGACAGGUGCUGCAUGGCUGUCGUCAGCUCGUGUUGUGAAAUGUUGGGUUAAGUCCCGCAACGAGCGCAACCCUUAUCCUUUGUUGCCAGCGGUUAGGCCGGGAACUCAAAGGAGACUGCCAGUGAUAAACUGGAGGAAGGUGGGGAUGACGUCAAGUCAUCAUGGCCCUUACGACCAGGGCUACACACGUGCUACAAUGGCAUAUACAAAGAGAAGCGACCUCGCGAGAGCAAGCGGACCUCAUAAAGUAUGUCGUAGUCCGGAUUGGAGUCUGCAACUCGACUCCAUGAAGUCGGAAUCGCUAGUAAUCGUAGAUCAGAAUGCUACGGUGAAUACGUUCCCGGGCCUUGUACACACCGCCCGUCACACCAUGGGAGUGGGUUGCAAAAGAAGUAGGUAGCUUAACCUUCGGGAGGGCGCUUACCACUUUGUGAUUCAUGACUGGGGUGAAGUCGUAACAAGGUAACCGUAGGGGAACCUGCGGUUGGAUCACAU
rnacentral:rRNA from 1 species